GACAGAGGGUGCAAACGUUGUUCGGAAUUACUGGGCGUAAAGCGCGUGUAGGCGGCCUGGCAAGUCGGGUGUGAAAGCCCUGGGCUCAACCUAGGAAGUGCACUCGAAACUGCCACGCUUGAGUCUUGGAGAGGAAGGCGGAAUUCUCGGUGUAGAGGUGAAAUUCGUAGAUAUCGGGAGGAACACCGGUGGCGAAGGCGGCCUUCUGGACAAUGACUGACGCUGAGACGCGAAAGCGUGGGGAGCAAACAGG
rnacentral:rRNA from 1 species